rnacentral:rRNA from 1 species
AACGAACGCUGGCGGCAUGCCUAACACAUGCAAGUCGAACGAGACCUUCGGGUCUAGUGGCGCACGGGUGCGUAACGCGUGGGAACCUGCCCUUAGGUUCGGAAUAACUCCCCGAAAGGGGUGCUAAUACCGGAGAAUGUCUUCGGACCAAAGAUUUAUCGCCUUUGGAUGGGCCCGCGUUGGAUUAGCUAGUUGGUAGGGUAAAAGCCUACCAAGGCGACGAUCCAUAGCUGGUCUGAGAGGAUGAUCAGCCACACUGGGACUGAGACACGGCCCAGACUCCUACGGGAAGCAGCAGUGGGGAAUAUUGGACAAUGGGCGAAAGCCUGAUCCAGCAAUGCCGCGUGAGUGAUGAAGGCCUUAGGGUUGUAAAGCUCUUUUACCCGGGAUGAUAAUGACAGUACCGGGAGAAUAAGCUCCGGCUAACUCCGUG